rnacentral:rRNA from 1 species
GCUUAGAAGCAGCCACUCAUUAAAAGAGUGCGUAAUAGCUCACUGGUCGAGUGACCCUGCGCCGAAAAUUUAACGGGGCUAAAUCGUGUACCGAAGCUUGGGAUUCAUACAUUAGUAUGAGUGGUAGGAGAGCGUUCCAUAAGGGGCGAAGUCAGAGCGGAAGCGCUGGUGGACUUUAUGGAAGUGAGAAUGCCGGAAUGAGUAGCGCGAAUUAUGUGAGAAUCAUAAUGGCCGAAAGUCUAAGGUUUUUGAAGGAAGGUUCGUCCGCUUCAAGAUAGUCGGGAGCUAAGGCGAGGCCGAGAGGCGUAGUCGAUGCACAUACGGUUGAUAUUCCGUAACCGUCAAAAGAUUUAAGCAAGGGGACACUCUGAAAGCGCAUAACCCGGGCGAUGGUUGACCCGGGCGUAAGGGACUGAAAUUUAGUAGGGAAGUAUGCGUGGACGGAGGCGAGAAAAGCCUUGUGUAUAUCUGCGAUGCCCGUACCGCAAACCGACACAGGUAGACAGGAAGAGGAUUCUAAGGCCAACGGGAGAAAGGUAGUUAAGGAACUCGGCAAAUUGACCCCGUAACUUCGGGAAAAGGGGUGCUCCGGAAACGGAGCCGCAGUGAAUAGGCCCAGGCAACUGUUUAGCAAAAACACAGGUCUCUGCAAAAUCGAAAGAUGACGUAUAGGGGCUGACACCUGCCCAGUGCUGGAAGGUUAAGAGGAGGCGUGCAAGCGCCGAAUCGAAGCCCCAGUGAACGGCGGCCGUAACUAUAACGGUCCUAAGGUAGCGAAAUUCCUUGUCGGGUAAGUUCCGACCCGCACGAAUGGUGUAAUGAUCUGGGCACUGUCUCAACUACCUGCCCGGCGAAAUUGUAGUACCGGUGAAGAUGCCGGUUACCCGCAACAAGACGGAAAGACCCCAUGGAGCUUCACUGCAGCUUAAUAUUGGGUUUCGAUAUUCUAUGUACAGGAUAGGCGGGAGACUUGGAAACAGCGGCGCCAGCCGUUGCGGAGUCGCCCUUGGGAUACCGCUCCUAGAGUAUUGGAAUUCUAACCUGCGGCCAUGAAUCUGGCCGGGGGACAUUGUUAGGCGGGCAGUUUGACUGGGGCGGUCGCCUCCAAAAGAGUAACGGAGGCGCUCAAAGGUUCGUUCAGCACGGACGGAAAUCGUGCAUUGAGUGUAAACGCAUAAACGAGCCUAACUGCGAGACCGACGGGUCGAGCAGUAACGAAAGUUGGAGUUAGUGAUCCGGCGGUAUGAGAGUGGAAUUGCCGUCGCUCAACGGAUAAAAGCUACCCUGGGGAUAACAGGCUGAUCUCCCCCAAGAGUCCACAUCGACGGGGAGGUUUGGCACCUCGAUGUCGGCUCAUCACAUCCUGGGGCUGUAGUAGGUCCCAAGGGUUCGGCUGUUCGCCGAUUAAAGUGGUACGCGAGCUGGGUUCAGAACGUCGUGAGACAGUUCGGUCCCUAUCUGUUGCGGGCGCAGGAUAUUUGAGAGGAUCUGUCCUUAGUACGAGAGGACCGGGAUGGACGCACCUCUGGUGCACCAGUUGUCACGCCAGUGGCACAGCUGGGCAGCUAUGUGCGGAUCGGAUAAACGCUGAAAGCAUCUAAGCGUGAAGCCGGCCUCAAGAUAAGAUAUCCCACUGAGUUAAUCAGGUAAGGUCCCAUGAAGACUACAUGGUUGAUAGGCUGCGUGUGUAAGUGCGGUGACGCAUUUAGCUUGGCAGUACUAAUAGACCGAGGGCUUGACUAA